rnacentral:misc_RNA from 1 species
UACAAAAAAAGGUCUUUACCAUUUUUUAAACCCAUUGUGAACCACAAAACCUUUCGCUUCGGCAGCUGGUCUGGUUUGCUUCAUCGCAACCAGCGCCGUCAGCCUGCCGGCAGCACCCUUCUUAAACUUGCUUUAAAAAACCUUGUCUUAAGAAUUAUCAUUUACGAAUGAAAAUCA